rnacentral:tRNA from 1 species
AAUUAGUUAACUUAAGUUUAAAGUGUCAGAUUUUUAAUCUGAAGAUGGUUAUCCACUAAUUA